GUGCCAGCCUCCGCGGUAAUACCGGCAGCCCAAGUGAUGGCCGCUGUUAUUGGGCCUAAAGCGUCCGUAGCUGGCCGCACAAGUCCGUCGGGAAAUCCGCCCGCUCAACGGGCGGCCGUCCGGUGGAAACUGCACGGCUUGGGACCGGAAGGCGCGACGGGUACGUCCAGGGUAGGAGUGAAAUCCCGUAAUCCUGGACGGACCGCCGAUGGCGAAAGCACGUCGCGAGAACGGAUCCGACAGUGAGGGACGAAAGCCAGGGUCUCCAACCGGAUUAGAUACCCAGUAGUC
rnacentral:rRNA from 1 species